rnacentral:rRNA from 1 species
GACAGAGGUGCCGAGCGUUAGGCGGAAUCACUGGGCUUAAAGCGUGUGUAGGCGGACCGUUAAGUACCUUGUGAAAUCCCCCCGGCUCAACCGGGGAACCGCUGGGUAUACUGGCGGUCUUGAGGCACCCAGGGGCUGUCGGAACAAGCGGUGGAGCGGUGAAAUGCGUAGAUAUCGCUUGGAACGCCGGCGGUGAAAACGGAACAGCUGGGGGUGUUGGCUGACGCUG